AAGUCGUAACAAGGUUUCCGUAGGUGAACCUGCGGAAGGAUCAUUAACAAAUCUGACGGUCACUGGGUGCCUCGCGGUUAUCUAGUGGCCACAUUGACUCGGGCGCUACUCCGACUUUACGGUUGGUGAAGAUUGCCCUGAGACAUACACGCUUGUUUUGUUUGACUGAGUUAUGGUGAAUAUUAAAUAAUGACAACUUUUAACAAUGGAUCUCUUGGCUCUU
rnacentral:misc_RNA from 1 species